rnacentral:lncRNA from 1 species
CCUUGAUGUUCCUGCAUGGCCCAGGCCAACAGGCGGGAAUCUGAAAAUAAGCCACAAAAAGGAAUGGUCUGUGUGCAGAGUUAGGGUACGCUCUGGGUUAUGGCUCUCAGUAGCUAUUGCUGUGUAGAAUCUAACAGUGGCCUUACAGCUGCCCAGCUCUCCCAUUGCUGGCCUCUUUCCCUUCCAGUCCACUGCCCCCAUGGCUGCCAGAUUGACCUUCCUGAAGAACUGCUCUGAUGACUUCACUUUUCUGCCAGAAAACUUCCACUGGCCCCCAACUGGUUCAUGUACCUACUGGGGCCAGCAGGUAUCACAAAUGAAGGAAGUGGCUACACUAAGUGAAACAGGCACCCUUGGGAUCUGAAAGCCAGGAAACGUGUAACUUCUAUAAGGAAAUGUGCUUCUUCCCAUUUAUCUUGAAAACGAAGACCUUCUGGAUCUACAAUUGGUUUCCUGCCUUUAGUCAAGGCUUGGUACAAGAAGUAACUCACUUUCCUCUUUACUAUGUAACAACCAAACGAUUGUAUUAAUUAGCAUGUUGGUUUGAUCGCUGAAACAGAAAUCAAAGUACAAUGGCUUUCAUAAGGUAGUAGAAGGUUUAUUUACAAUUUAUAUGAAGACCUAUGCUGGUAGCUCGUCCUAGGGGUAGGGAGUGGGGCGGUUAGAGGGUUCUGCUCCAUGCAACCAACUGGGGACCCUGGUCUUUUCUAUCUUGUCCUCAGUAGUGGUUCUCAAAGUGUGAUCCAGGGAGUACUCAGGGGUUUCUGAGACCCUUUCAAAGGCCUGUAAGGUCAAAAUUAUUGUUAUAAGAAUACUGAGACAUUUUGGUCCUUUUCAUUUUUAUUCUCCCAUGAGUAUGCAGUAGAGAAUUCCAAAGGUUCUUAAAAAUAAUGGGAAAACUUGAAUUAGUAAGUUUUAUUUCAGUAUAUGUGUAUGUAUCUCAUUCAUUUAUUUAACCACCAUCUAUUAAGUACUUCUAGAAGUGCUGUUUACAUUCAUUCAACAGAUAUUGAUGGCACAUAAUAUUGGCAAAAUCUAGCAUGAGCUGCUUGAGGAUACAGGGAAGAACAAGAGACAUGGCCCCUGCCCUCAGGAAGCUAACAAUCUAGUGAAAAAGCCAGAUACCAAACUGCUAGGAACACAAUCAAUUAUCUCAUUAUAAUCAUGAUUAUGUUCAGAAGAGGGAUAGAGCUAUAAGAGCAAAACACUGGGACCGGAAGAGAUACUAAGAUGAUUGGGAGGUCUGAUAUUGGAUGUGCCACUGCAGGAAGCUGCACAACACUGACAUUAACGCUGUGAGAUUCUUUUAAAACCCUCAUUCUGGGACAUGAUUGAUGGCAGCCAGUCCUAUUCAGUUGCUGAGACAGAAGACCUGGGCAGACGGAGUAAGGAGCUUUCAGUGUCUCUACACCUGGCAUGUUAUCUUAUAUAGCUAGGGUGGAACAUGCAUCCCAGUUUGCUUGGGACAUGUUUUUGCUCCCUGUCUCAGUGAGUAUUACUAAAAUUUAGCCUCGUAACUGUUUUGACUUAAUAAGUUAUAUGGUUAUCCUACUUAUUGCUUUUACCAGAUUGUUAACUAGAAAGUGAUUUGAGCCAAAUUAUUAUCGUUACAUCUGUAGUGUGAUGGGUCCCCCACCAAGUUACUUAAGGAUGUAUGUCCACUGCCUGAAUUCUGAAGGCUGGGCAGUGAGCCAAGUCCAGGGUGCCCAACCGAGGAGCAGGUGUCUCUAAGAACCCAAACAUCCCAGUGAGUAUCUGAGAACCGAUCAAGAAAAACAGUCUCAUCACUCAAACACAGUAGGCAAAGAGCCAGGAAAUUAAUUUAAAAGCAGUUUGGAGUCGGGAGGUGGCGCAGAUCUCCAGCGCUGUCCUGCCGCUAUCCAGGAGUGCCAUGUACAUAAGUCCUGAUAGACUCAUCUACUCAUCAAGCUGGACUUGUCUGAAUCAUUCUUUGGUCUCUUAGCUCCUUCCCAGUUUGCAGGGGGAUGUUACAGUUCCAAGUUUUUCUUGUAGCAUUGCUUUGAAACAAGGAAACUGCUGUUCAGUUUCAGAAGGUAUUAUGAGUUGAGUUGUGUCUCCCCACCAAAAAAUAUGUGGGAGUCCUAACUGUCAGUACCUCAGAAUGUGAACUGAAACAGGGUUUUUAUAGAGGUAAUCAAUGUAAAGAUGAGGUCAUUAGCUGGGCCUAAUACAAUAAGACGGAUGUUUUUAUAAAAAGGGUAAAUUUGGGCCGGGUGCGGUGGUUCAUGCCUGUAAUCCCAGCACUUUGGGAGGCCGAGGUAGGCAGAUCACUUGAGGUCAGGAGUUUGAGACCAGCUUGGCCAGCAUAGUGAAACCCUGUCUCUACUAAAAAUACAAAAAUUAGCUGGGCGUGGUGGUGGGUGCCUGUAAUCCCAGCUACUUGGGAGCCUGAGGCAGGACAAUCACUUGAAUUUGGGAGGCAAAUGUUGCAGUAAGCCAAGAUCUCACCACUGUACU